CCUACGGGUGGCAGCAGUGGGGAAUAUUGGACAAUGGGCGCAAGCCUGAUCCAGCCAUGCCGCGUGAGUGAAGAAGGCCUUAGGGUUGUAAAGCUCUUUCACCGGUGAAGAUAAUGACGGUAACCGGAGAAGAAGCCCCGGCUAACUUCGUGCCAGCAGCCGCGGUAAUACGAAGGGGGCUAGCGUUGUUCGGAAUUACUGGGCGUAAAGCGCGCGUAGGCGGAUAGAUAAGUCAGAGGUGAAAUCCCGGGGCUCAACCCCGGAAUUGCCUUUGAUACUGUUUAUCUUGAGUGCAGAAGAGGUAAGUGGAAUUCCGAGUGUAGAGGUGAAAUUCGUAGAUAUUGGGAAGAACACCGGUGGCGAAGGCGGCAACCUGGCUCGAUACUGACGCUGAGGCGCGAAAGCGUGGGGAGCAAACAGGAUUAGAUACCCGCGUAGUC
rnacentral:rRNA from 1 species